UACGUAGGUGGCAAGCGUUAUCCGGAAUUACUGGGCGUAAAGCGCACGCAGGCGGUCUUGUAAGUUUGGCGUGAAAGCUCCCGGCUUAACUGGGAGAGGUCGCUGAAGACUGCAAGACUUGAGGAAAUGAGAGGGGUGUAGAAUUCCUGGUGUAGCGGUGAAAUGCGUAGAUAUCAGGAGGAAUACCGGUGGCGAAAGCGACUCUCUGGACGGCAACUGACGCUGAGGCACGAAAGCGUGGGGAGCAAACAGG
rnacentral:rRNA from 1 species